AUGAACGCUAGCUACAGGCUUAACACAUGCAAGUCGCGGGGCAGCAUGGGGGUUGCUUGCAAUCCCCGAUGGCGACCGGCGCACGGGUGAGUAACGCGUAUCCAACCUGCCCUUCACCACGGGAUAACCCGGCGAAAGUCGGACUAAUACCGUAUGUUGUCCAUUGACGGCAUCCGAUUUGGACGAAAGGCUUGGCGGUGAGGGAUGGGGAUGCGUCCGAUUAGCCAGACGGCGGGGUAACGGCCCACCGUGGCUACGAUCGGUAGGGGUUCUGAGAGGAAGGUCCCCCACACGGGAACUGAGACACGGUCCAGACUCCUACGGGAGGCAGCAGUGAGGAAUAUUGGUCAAUGGGCGUAAGCCUGAACCAGCCAAGUAGCGUGCAGGAGGACGGCCCUAUGGGUGGUAAACUGCUUUUAUGCGGGGAUAAAGUGGCCCACGUGUGGGCUUUUGCAGGUACCGCAUGAAUAAGGACCGGCUAAUUCCGUG
rnacentral:rRNA from 1 species